AUUGAACGCUGGCGGCGUGCUUAACACAUGCAAGUCGAUCGGUAACAGGUGUAGCAAUACAUGCUGACGAGAGGCGGACGGGUGAGGAAUAUUUGGGAAUCUGCCCAUCAGCGGGGGACAACCCGGGGAAACCCGGGCUAAUACCGCAUACGCUCUACGGAGGAAAGCCGGGGACCGCAAGGCCUGGCACUGAUGGAUGAGCCCAAAUCGGAUUAGCUAGUUGGCGGGGUAACGGCCCACCAAGGCGACGAUCCGUAGCUGGUCUGAGAGGACGAUCAGCCACACCGGAACUGAGACACGGUCCGGACUCCUACGGGAGGCAGCAGUGGGGAAUUUUGGACAAUGGGCGCAAGCCUGAUCCAGCCAUGCCGCGUGUGUGAAGAAGGUCUUCGGAUUGUAAAGCACUUUAAGUUGGGAGGAAGGUCAGUAGCUUAAUACGUUGCUGAUUUGACGUUACCGACAGAAUAAGCACCGGCUAACUCUGUGCCAGCAGCCGCCGUAAAAC
rnacentral:rRNA from 1 species